rnacentral:rRNA from 1 species
GACGAACGCUGGCGGCGUGCUUAACACAUGCAAGUCGAACGGAAAGACCCUGCUUUUGUGGGGUGCUCGAGUGGCGAACGGGUGAGUAACACGUGAGUAACCUGCCCUUGACUUUGGGUUAGUUUAAGGAAAUGGGGCUUAUACCAGUAACGCAUCCCACCUGCAUGGGAGGGGGUGGGAAGUUUCGGCGGUUGGGGAUGGACUGGGGGGUUAUCAGCUUGGUGGGUGGGGAGGGGCUUACCCAGGCUUUGGACGGUAGCCGGCCUGGGAGGGGGAACGGGCACAAGGGGACUGAGAUACGGCCCAGACUCCUACGGGAGGCAGCAGUGGGGAAUAUUGCACAAUGGGCGGAAGCCUGAUGCAGCAACGCCGCGUGCGGGAUGACGGCCUGCGGGGUGUAAACCGCUUUCGCCUGUGACGAAGCGUGAGUGACGGUAAUGGGUAAAGAAGCACCGGCUAACUACGUG